rnacentral:tRNA from 1 species
GUUUCCAUAGUUUAAUUAGAAUAGAGGCUUGUGGUGCCUCAGGCGUGUUUAGCACUGGAGAUC